rnacentral:rRNA from 1 species
AUAUCAAUAAGCGGAGGAAAAGAAACCAACCGGGAUUGCCUUAGUAACGGCGAGUGAAGCGGCAAAAGCUCAAAUUUGAAAUCUGGCUCUAUUUUGGGGUCCGAAUUGUAAUUUGAAGAAGCGACUUUGGACCUGGCUCUUGUCUAUGUUCCUUGGAACAGGACGUCACAGAGGGUGAGAAUCCCGUGCGAUGAGAAGCCCAGGUUCGUGUAAAGCGUUUUCGACGAGUCGAGUUGUUUGGGAAUGCAGCUCUAAGUGGGUGGUAAAUUCCAUCUAAAGCUAAAUAUUGGCGAGAGACCGAUAGCGAACAAGUACAGUGAUGGAAAGAUGAAAAGAACUUUGAAAAGAGAGUGAAAAAGUACGUGAAAUUGUUGAAAGGGAAGGGCUUGAGAUCAGACUUUGUUUUUCCAUGGCGCUCUUUCGGGGGUGUCCUCUGGGUCUACAGGGCCAGCAUGGGUUUUGCGGGCGAGACAAGGACUCAGGAAUGUGGCUCUGCUUCGGUGGAGUGUUAUAGCCUGGGGUACUGGUCGCCAUGCGGGACCGAGGACUGCGGUACUAGGAUGCUGGCAUA